AGUGAACGCUGGCGGUAGGCCUAACACAUGCAAGUCGAACGGCAGCACAGUAAGAGCUUGCUCUUACGGGUGGCGAGUGGCGGACGGGUGGGGAAUACAUCGGAAUCUACUUUUUCGUGGGGGAUAACGUAGGGAAACUUACGCUAAUACCGCAUACGACCUACGGGUGAAAGCAGGGGAUCUUCGGACCUUGCGCGAUUGAAUGAGCCGAUGUCGGAUUAGCUAGUUGGCGGGGUAAAGGCCCACCAAGGCGACGAUCCGUAGCUGGUCUGAGAGGAUGAUCAGCCACACUGGAACUGAGACACGGUCCAGACUCCUACGGGAGGCAGCAGUGGGGAAUAUUGGACAAUGGGCGCAAGCCUGAUCCAGCCAUACCGCGUGGGUGAAGAAGGCCUUCGGGUUGUAAAGCCCUUUUGUUGGGAAAGAAAAGCAGCAGGUUAAUACCCCGCUGCUCUGACGGUACCCAAAGAAUAAGCACCGGCUAACUUCAUG
rnacentral:rRNA from 1 species